rnacentral:rRNA from 1 species
UGGGGAAUUUUGGACAAUGGGCGAAAGCCUGAUCCAGCAAUGCCGCGUGUGUGAAGAAGGCCUUCGGGUUGUAAAGCACUUUUGUCCGGAAAGAAAUCCUUGGCUCUAAUACAGUCGGGGGAUGACGGUACCGGAAGAAUAAGCACCGGCUAACUACGUGCCAGCAGCCGCGGUAAUACGUAGGGUGCAAGCGUUAAUCGGAAUUACUGGGCGUAAAGCGUGCGCAGGCGGUUUGCUAAGACCGAUGUGAAAUCCCCGGGCUCAACCUGGGAACUGCAUUGGUGACUGGCAGGCUAGAGUAUGGCAGAGGGGGUAGAAUUCCACGUGUAGCAGUGAAAUGCGUAGAGAUGUGGAGGAAUACCGAUGGCGAAGGCAGCCCCUGGGCCAAGUACUGACGCUCAUGCACGAAAAGCGUGGGGAGCAAAACAGGAUUAGAUACCCUGGUAGUCCACGCCCUAAAACGAUGUCAACUAGUUGUUGGGGAUUCAUUUCCUUAGUAACGUAGCUAACGCGUGAAGUUGACCGCCUGGGGAGUACGGUCGCAAAGAUUAAAAACUCAAAGGAAUUGACGAGGUCAUAGCUGUUUCCU